GGCGGACGGGUGAGGAAUACAUCGGAAUCUACUCUGUCGUGGGGGAGUAACGUAGGGAAACUUACGCUAAUACCGCAUACGACCUACGGUGAAAGCAGGGAUCUUCGGACCUUGCGCGAUUGAAUGAGCCGAUGUCGGAUUAGCUAGUUGGCGGGGUAAAGGCCCACCAAGGCGACGAUCCGUAGCUGGUCUGAGAGGAUGAUCAGCCACACUGGAACUGAGACACGGUCCAGACUCCUACGGGAGGCAGCAGAC
rnacentral:rRNA from 1 species